CGUUGAAACACCGGUCCUCGUACGAUCACCGAAGUUAAGCAACGUUGGUCUUGGUCCGAACGUAGAUGGAUGACCACUUGGGAAUAUAGGUACUGUAAG